AAGAGGGCAGUUUUAACAAUAAGUAGCAUAUAUCAGAAGCACACGCGGAACAAUAAAACGUACAUGUGCCUUUUCGAGACAAUACGAUGCAAGGAACAGAUCUCUCACAAAUGUAUUCAGAUUUGGAAUGAAAUAAAAGCAAGGGUAUACAGGGAUUCCAAGCAAUCAUAUUUAGCUCAAUUCAAAUAAGAAGGUGACAUGAAUUCAAUAUCCAAAGGAAUGGAACAGAAUACGCGAAAUCGACAAAAGCUCGAUUUCUGACAGAAUUCAAG
rnacentral:lncRNA from 1 species